rnacentral:rRNA from 1 species
UUACCUUGUUACGACUUAGUCCCUCUUACUCCCCUCACCUUCGAACGCUCUCUCCUUGCGGUUAAGCCACGCACUUCGGGUGAAGACAAUUCAAGUGACUUGACGGGCGGUGUGUACAAGACCCGGGAACGUAUCAAACGCAGUAUAGCUGACCUGCUUUUACAAGCGAUCCCCCCCCCAAUAUAGUGGAAGUCCGCCUUCAUGCAGUCGAGUUGCAGACUGCAAUCUGAACUGGGGGCGUAUUUUUGGGAUUUGCUCCACCUCGCGGUAUUGCUGCCCUUUGUUUCGCCCAUUGUAGCAUGUGUGAAGCCCCAGACGUAACUGCCAUGCUGACUUGACGUCAUCCCCACCUUCCUCCGGCUUACACCGGCGGUCUCCUGUGAGUGCCCAUCUUUCAUGCUGGUAACACAGGACGAGGGUUGCGCUCGUUGGCGGACUUAACCGUACACCUCACGGCACGAGCUGACGACAGCCAUGCAACAAGUGUCUUCACGUCCCUUGUUAGGGAGGAGCCCAUUUCUGGACUUUGCGAUCGA